rnacentral:rRNA from 1 species
AGUGAACGCUGGCGGUAGGCCUAACACAUGCAAGUCGAACGGCAGCACAGUAAGAGCUUGCUCUUACGGGUGGCGAGUGGCGGACGGGUGAGGAAUACAUCGGAAUCUACUUUUUCGUGGGGGAUACGUAGGGAAACUUACGCUAAUACCGCAUACGACCUACGGGUGAAAGCAGGGGAUCUUCGGACCUUGCGCGAUUGAAUGAACCGAUGUCGGAUUAGCUAGUUGGCGGGGUAAAGGCCCACCAAGGCGACGAUCCGUAGCUGGUCUGAGAGGAUGAUCAGCCACACUGGAACUGAGACACGGUCCAGACUCCUACGGGAGGCAGCAGUGGGGAAUAUUGGACAAUGGGCGCAAGCCUGAUCCAGCCAUACCGCGUGGGUGAAGAAGGCCUUCGGGUUGUAAAGCCCUUUUGUUGGGAAAGAAAAGCAGCAGGUUAAUACCCCGCUGUUCUGACGGUACCCAAAGAAUAAGCACCGGCUAACUUCGUG